UACAGAGGUCUCAAGCGUUGUUCGGAUUCAUUGGGCGUAAAGGGUGCGUAGGCGGCGCGGUAAGUCGGGUGUGAAAUCUCGGAGCUUAACUCCGAAACUGCAUUCGAUACUGCCGUGCUUGAGGACUGGAGAGGAGACUGGAAUUUACGGUGUAGCGGUGAAAUGCGUAGAUAUCGUAAGGAAGACCAGUGGCGAAGGCGGGGUCUCUGGACAGUUCCUGACGCUGAGGCACGAAGGUCAGGGGAGCAAACAGG
rnacentral:rRNA from 1 species